GACUGCUUAGCUCAGCGGCUAGAGCGUCUGACUUACAUUCAGAAGGUCGGGGGUUCAAAUCCCUCAGCAGUCA
rnacentral:tRNA from 1 species